GGCGAACCCGGGGAACUGAAACAUCUCAGUACCCGGAGGAAAGGACAUCAACCGAGACUCCCGUAGUAGUGGCGAGCGAACCGGGACCAGGCCAGUGCUCUUGUGAAAUAAAGGCGAACGAUCUGGAAAGAUCGGCCAUAGCGGGUGACAGCCCCGUAGCCGUCAAACAGCAAGAGACUCGAGUAGGGCGGGACACGUGAAAUCCUGUCUGAACAUGGGGGGACCACCCUCCAAGCCUAAAUACUCGUACAUGACCGAUAGCGAACACAGUACCGUGAGGGAAAGGUGAAAAGCACCCCGAUUAGGGGAGUGAAACAGUACCUGAAACCGG
rnacentral:rRNA from 1 species